UACGAAGGGGGCGAGCGUUGUUCGGAAUCACUGGGCGUAAAGCGCACGUAGGCGGAUUCCUAAGUCGGUGGUGAAAUCCUGGAGCUCAACUCCAGAACUGCCUCCGAUACUGAGAGUCUUCGAGUCCGGGAGAGGUGAGUGGAACUGCGAGUGUAGAGGUGAAAUUCGUAGAUAUUCGCAAGAACACCAGUGGCGAAGGCGGCUCACUGGCCCGGUACUGACGCUGAGGUGCGAAAGCGUGGGGAGCAAACAGG
rnacentral:rRNA from 1 species